GGAAGCGUGGCAGAGUGGUUGAAUGCACCGGUCUUGAAAACCGGCAAUGACGCAAGUCAUUCGUGAGUUCGAAUCUCACCGCUUCCGCCA
rnacentral:tRNA from 2 species